UGGUUAGAAAGCUGUUUCUCUACGGAAAAAAAAAAAGGUACCUGUAACUUAAUGACCGGACCACUACAUUAAAGAACGGCUAACUCUACGCCAGCGGCCACGGUUAUACGGAAGGUCUGAGCGUUAUCCGGAAUUAUUGGGAUUAAAGGGUCCGGGGGCGGACCCCUAGGUUCAGGCUGAAAGUUGGCUGUUCAACCGUAAAACUGCAUUUGAUACUGGGGGUCUUGAAUUAUGAUGAAGUUGCCGGAAUAUGUAGUGUAUCGGUGAAAUGCAUAUAUAUUACGUAGAACACCGAUUGCGAAGGCAGGUGACUAACCAUAUACUGACGCUGAUGGACGAAAGCGUGGGGAGGGAACACGAUUACAUACACUGGUAGUCCACGCCGUAAACGAUGGAUACUAUCUGUCCGAGGCCUUGAGUCUUGGGCGGCCAAGCGGAAGUGAUAAGUAUCCCACCUGGGCAGUACGUUCGCAAGAAUGAAACUCAAAUGAAUUGACGGAGGCGGCC
rnacentral:rRNA from 1 species